rfam:Ipomoea nil DNA, scaffold: scaffold2779, cultivar: Tokyo-kokei standard.
AAAUUGCACCGACCGCACGGGAAACCAUGUUCUCAUUUGAACAUAUAUAUAUAUAUAUAUAUAUAUAUAUAUAUAUAUAUAUAUAUAUAUAUAUAUAUAUAUUGGUUCAAAUGAGAACAUGGUUUCCCGUGCGGUCGGUGCAGUUU